rnacentral:rRNA from 1 species
GACGAACGCUGGCGGCGUGCUUAACACAUGCAAGUCGAACGGAAAGGCUCCAGCUUGCUGGAGUACUCGAGUGGCGAACGGGUGAGUAACACGUGGGUAAUCUGCCCUGCACUCUGGGAUAAGCCUGGGAAACUGGGUCUAAUACUGGAUAUGACCUUUCUCCUUAUGGGGUUUGGUGGAAAGUUUUUCGGUGUAGGAUGAGCCGCGGCCUAUCAGCUUGUUGGUGGGGUGAUGGCCUACCAAGGCGACGACGGGUAGCCGGCCUGAGAGGGUGAUCGGCCACAUUGGGACUGAGAUACGGCCCAGACUCCUACGGGAGGCAGCAGUGGGGAAUAUUGCACAAUGGGCGGAAGCCUGAUGCAGCGACGCCGCGUGAGGGAUGACGGCCUUCGGGUUGUAAACCUCUUUCAGCAGGGACGAAGCGUAAGUGACGGUACCUGCAGAAGAAGCACCGGCUAACUAUGUG